rnacentral:lncRNA from 1 species
GCACACACGACCUGACCUCAUCUUUACAAAUGUGCAGAACAAAAGGACACACAGGACUGAGUGGGUUAGAGACCACCAGGGCCAGAGGGUUCGGUCUAGAAGUGCUGGCUUUGCCCCGAAAGGUAGACCCAAUGGGCUCACAACACACCAGGGUCCAAAUGCCCCUUCGGGUUGUUGAAGUGGAAAGUCUACGUUCUCUUUAUUUUAUCACAUUUUUUAAAAACUUGAUUUUUAAAAAAAAAACACAGUGGGUAAGCCCCACCCCAGGUCCAGGCCUCCGCUGACCAGGGCAGGCCUGUCCACAGAAGGUGGACCUCUCUGCUGGCAGAGACCCUGCUGCCCUGGGCGCCACUCCCUCCCUCCCACCUGGGCCUGUGCCCACCACACGCCACCUCCCACCCUCUGCAGACUGCUAUGGGAUCUGCCCGCCCGUGCCUGGCCCACAGCUGCUUACCUGCCCGGGGCCUGCAGCUCCUGCCUCCGUCCACCUGGCUCUGGGAUCCAUGAAGAAGGGGUUAUAUCGCUCCCUGACCACCUGACCUCCUCGCCCGCAGGCCACAGGGUGCCAAGGACCCUCUGCUUCCUGCACCAGUGAAGCAAAGGAGUCAUGGGCAGGCCUGGGCCCCCCCCAAGCCAACCACGAGAGGCGCCAUCUGUGCCGGAGGUGGCAUGGAGCUGCCCAGGGCCUGGCCUCCACCUCAACAUCAGGCGAAGAUGGGAAGGAGCGUCACAGCAGACAGAUGCUGGCGUGCAGGCGGCUGCAGGGUCCGGCAGGCCCCUCGGCAAUGCUGUGCCCGAGAGCUCCGUUUGUCUUUGGGGUCCUUGCAAAUGGGCUUGGGUGACCAGGCCCCACCGACGGCCCUGCCUCGGGAGCCUCGCGCCUCUCUCACGUCAGAGCACUUCCCUGCUGAGCAGGGUGAGGCCCCAGUGGGACUGCGAAGCAGGAAGAAGCCCGCUGGCCCUACAAGGCUGGGCCGGGGGUCGCAGCCUCUUGAGAACCCCCCUUUCUUCCUGAUCUGCGGUCAUGGCGCCUUUGGGAAAGCAUCAAGGUCAAAGAAAGCCAUUUAAACACCACUGUGUGUGUCAAGCUGCUACACGAAGGCCCAGGCUGACUUCCCACAGGCCGCGUGUCCUUGGACACCCUUGGACACCCUUGGACAUCCUUGGUGGCUCUGUCCUGGGUGCUGAGUCCCACAGUCCACGUCUCUUUUCCUGUUGAAGGAUGCUGGAGAGAGGCCAGCUCAGGGGGAGAAUGGGUGGCCACAGAGACAGGAGACAGGGCUCCACUGCUGCUCACAGGAGCCCUCGGCCCGCCGCGGACCCCUUCUGGUUCGGCCACCUCAUCCACAGAUGUGAACUUGGAUAAGUCAGAACUCAGAGAACAAACCCGUUCAGUGCAAGCGUAUGCCCAGGGUCGGCCGAGACGGGCGUGCGCCAAGAGCGACUCCUCGUGUGCGCGACGCCUCGUGGGCCAUUCAGACCUCACGGGCAGCCUACUUUGGUCUCUUGCCUGGAGACUAUCCUGCAAAGUGGGUCUAGGGACACGGACUCUCCAGCCGCCCCAUGAGCAGCAGGAGCCCAGGGGCUGGGCCUCAGUCCAGCCUCUGCACCACCGUCAGGCGCCCCUGCAGAGCUGCAGCGGGAGCACCCGGGCUCCCUGCAGCCCCACCCACCCCUGCCCAGCAGAACUUCUCCUUCCCGCCAGGAGCGGUUCCCCAUCCGAGGAGACCUCAGCCCUCAGCUUCUCCCUGGGAGUUUCGGGCUCUCUGAGUUAUUUUAGGUCCCCUCCGGCCACGCCCAGAACCCUGGUGCCCACCUGCCCGCCUCACUGCCUUUGCACGGGGGCCCUGCCCGGAGGGGCUGCGCCUGGCCCUCUCACCUCCUCUGCCAGCAAGCCAAGGGCCCAGCCCACCCUCCAGAGGACACAGAGAUGGACUGGAGCUGGUCUGGACAGGGAGGGAGUGGCCCCUCAGGGAAGCCCCGGGCAGCACGGCUGAGACUCACGGCAUCGUCAGGGAGCAGCGCCUGUUUCCCCGGGAG